AAAAUAUUGUUAAUAAAAUACGUUUAUGCUAAUUUUAAGGGAUUGAUGUGAACUUUGUUUGGAUUAAAUUUGAUUGAUAAUGUGAUUGACAAUUUAAAUUAAAAUUUUAAAGUAAAGUUAAUUAUUUUGGAAAAAAUAUUUAAUGCUAAUGGCAUUGGGUUGUAAAUAAGUCCAACUUUAGGAUUUAUUUGCUAAAAUGGUUGCAAAAAUGUAUAUAUAGAUUGUAGCAUUAAAUUAGGAAAAAAUAUAUAUAUAUAUAUAUAUAAUAUAAA
rnacentral:sRNA from 1 species